CAGAUUUUAGUUUAUUAAAAUAUUAGCUUUGGAAGCUAAAGAUGUCUUUAGGCUUUUCUGA
rnacentral:tRNA from 1 species